UACGUGAGUGGCAAGCGUUGUCCGGAUUUACUGGGCGUAAAGGGAGCGUAGGUGGAUAUUUAAGUGGGAUGUGAAAUACUCGGGCUUAACCUGGGUGCUGUCAUUCCAAACUGGAUAUCUAGAGUGCAGGAGAGGAAAGUAGAAUUCCUAGUGUAAGCGGUGAAAUGCGUAGAGAUUAGGAAGAAUACCAGUGGCGAAGGCGACUUUCUGGACUGUAACUGACACUGAGGCUCGAAAGCGUGGGGAGCAAACAGG
rnacentral:rRNA from 1 species